AUCCAGCUGACAGGUCCCAAAUAGGACGAAACGCGCGUCAAACUGGAU
rfam:Schistosoma rodhaini strain Burundi genome assembly, scaffold: SROB_scaffold0000326